AAGGUCCCUAAAUGUAAGUUAAGUGGUAAAGGAUGUGGGAUUGCACAGACAACCAGGAUGUUGGCUUAGAAGCAGCCACUCAUUCAAAGAGUGCGUAAUAGCUCACUGGUCGAGUGAUCCUGCGCCGAAGAUUUCCGGGGCUAAAACUUACUACCGAAGCUACGGCAUCAGUAAUGAUGGGUAGGGGGGCUUCCCAUACGGGUUGAAGCAUGACCGUAAGGACAUGUGGACAGUAUGGGAGUGAGAAUGUUGGCAUGAGUAGCGAGAUGUGGGUGAGAAUCCCACAGGCCGUAAACCCAAGGUUUCCAGGGGAAGGUUCGUCCGCCCUGGGUUAGUCGGGACCUAAGCUGAGGCCGAAAGGCGUAGGUGAUGGACAACAGGUUGAUAUUCCUGUACUACCGAUAACCGUUUGAGAGAAGGGAUGACACAGUAGGAUAAGCUAAGCACACUG
rnacentral:rRNA from 1 species